rnacentral:rRNA from 1 species
CAGAAUCAACGCUGGCGGCGUGCCUAACACAUGCAAGUCGAGCGAGAAAGGGGCUUCGGCCCUGAGUAAAGCGGCGCACGGGUGAGUAACACGUGGGUAAUCUGCCCUAGAGUGGGAAUAACAUCGGGAAACCGAUGCUAAUACCGCAUACGAUCACGAGGUCUUCGGAUUUGUGAUGAAAGGAGCAAUCCGCUCUUGGAGGAGCCCGCGGCUGAUUAGCAGUUGGUAAGGUAAUGGCUUACCAAGGCUACGAUCAGUA